AGUAACCUGCCUUGGAGCGGGGAAUAACAGCUGGAAACAGCUGCUAAUACCGCAUAAUAUAUCUGGGUCGCAUGGCUCUGGAUAUCAAAGAUUUAUCGCUCUGAGAUGGACUCGCGUCUGAUUAGCUAGUUGGUGGGGCAACGGCCCACCAAGGCGACGAUCAGUAGCCGGACUGAGAGGUUGGCCGGCCACAUUGGGACUGAGACACGGCCCAGACUCCUACGGGAGGCAGCAG
rnacentral:rRNA from 1 species